UCUGAAACUUGGCGUGGAUACAGAGAAGCCAAGGAUUCAGA
rfam:Salmo salar isolate Sally breed double haploid chromosome ssa24, whole genome shotgun sequence.